CCAGGCUGUCUAUGGAGCCAAAGAUAUCGAACUCUGUCCUGAGGCACAAGUCAAAAUAGAUCGUUACACUCAGCAGGGUUUUGGAAAUUUGCCCAUCUGCAUGGCAAAGACCGAUCUUUCUCUGUCUCACCAACCUGACAAAAAAGGUGUGCCAAGGGACUUCAUCUUACCUAUCAGUGAUGUCCGGGCCAGCAUAGGUGCUGGGUUCAUUUACCCUUUGGUCGGAACGGGAAGCAGAGAAUCUCCCCUCUGGCUCUAGUUGGAGAAUCCCAACCCAAGCAAGUCCAUCUUUGAACAAUAAACAUCUCCAGUACUGCUGGCUUUGGAAGACCCCAUGGAACCCCAAUUGUUUUCAAAUUCAAGAAUUCAGAGAAAUCUACUUGUUACAAAAGAGUAGAAUGGAUAAUGGGCACCACAUCCUGAAGUGUAUUUUAAUAAAAAUUCAUGUAAGAUGGUUC
rnacentral:lncRNA from 1 species